AGCUCAGCGGCAGAGCGACUGUUUGUGGAACAGAGGGUCGCGGGUUCGAGUCCCGUC
rnacentral:tRNA from 1 species